rnacentral:rRNA from 1 species
AAACGGCCGCGUUAGCGUGAGCGUGCUAAGGUAGCGUAAUAAUUAGCCUUUUAAUUGGAGGCCAGUGAAUGGCAAGACUAGGAACACCUUUACUUUGUAUACAAAAAAAACUUUUCGUCUAAGCGAAAAGACUUAGAUGAUAAAGGUAGACGAAAAGACCCCGCGGAACUUUACCUUUUCCUGUACUCCCGUNAUCCACCUAAAAGUACUUGAGGUUUGAUUGGGGCAAUCUUGGAACCAACAAAGCUUCCAACUUUUUAAAAACCUAUAUAAAAUUUACUAAAGACCAAAAAGAAGUUACCCCGGGGAUAACAGCGUAAUCCAACUAAAGAGUACAUAUCGAAAGUUGGGUUGCGACCUCGAUGUUGGCUUAAG